GUCUGGGUAUCCGCUGGGCGGGCCGGCGCGGGGCACCGAGGCCCCUCCGGGUCGCAGCUCCUGAGGCCGCGGGCACGGGCCAGGCCUAGUAGCGGCCGCCGGGAGUCGUUCUGGGGGGCCGGGGGACCAGCUGCCUUCCUCCUCCAUUCCGACCCCCCAGCUCCGUGUUGAGGGCUGAGUGCGAAGGGCCGGAUGUGGGGAUCCUGGGAAGAGCGUUCCCUGGGAUUCCCUUUUUCACUCUAGCGAGGAGGACUUGCACACAUUCUGGAACACUUCCCCAAAUAUGGUCCGAGGAAAGAAGUCCCCAGUGCCAUCCCACCCCUGCUUUCCCCUCUCGCCGACUCUUUGGGAGCUACAGGUAGUGGUGCUGUGGGUAAGGUUGGCUCUUCUCCCUCCAUCACUUGGGUCCAACCCAACCUUAUCACAAGGCGGGGGCUGCUAGUCUGGCUCUACGCAAGUGAGGCUAAUCCUGAGUGAACAACUCUGCCUUAGAGAUCCUUCAUCUCUUCAGAUUAGGAAUGGAAAACAUAAUGAGACCAAACAGCAACUUUAUCCAUUAGAGAAAAAAGCCAGGCAGGUUUGCCUUUUCUCUAGACAUUCUAGGAUCUGCUGCAAUGCCUGUAAAACUUAAAGGUCAUUCGGAGUGGAAGUGCUUCCAGAACACGGUUAAUUUCUUCUGAGAGCUGAAGGUGCGGGUACUCCACACUUUACAUCAAAAAGUAAAAUAUCAUGAAAAUGGAAUUUCUGUAUGGCUGUGAGGUGUGUGUGUGUGUCUGUGUGUUUGUGUAUGCAUGUAUACACAUGCAUAUAUAUGUGUGUAUAUAUGUGUCAGUCAGAAUGGUCGUGAAAUAAAACUUGGGUUUGCCUUUGUAAAGUUUAUAUAUUUUUAUAAUUCAGAAUGGCCGAAUAACAGAUGAUAUUUGUUACAUCACCAGUAGUGAAUGACAUGUUAGCACUUAAAGUGGGCCUGAUAAUUUUAGUUUGUGUAAAUAUUACUUGUAAUGUUUUCAUGGUUGUAACAUAAGAAUUAGGCUAAUUUUAUAAUUUAGCAUGAAGGAAAUAGCUUUUUUUUCUGUAUUAGUAAAGUAGAAUUCAUUUAGAAGGAUUUAGUCAUUCAUUUGGUUUAACAUAAAUAGAUCAGAUUAUAUGGUUUAUGUUUCAUCAGUAAGGUUUUGGUAUCAAUUUUUGGGAGCUCCAGAAAAGUUUGAUGAGCUAUUAUAUAAACUAUUUAAGAACACACAGUAUGUCAUACAGAGAUCUAAAGAAACCAUUGUAGAGGUAGAAUGUAUGUUAUUUUAUUUAUUUAUUUUUGAGAUGGAGUUUCGUUCUUGUUGCCCAGGCUGGAGUGCAAUAGUGCAAUCUUGGCUCACUGCAACCUCCGCUUCCUGGGUUCAAGCGAUUCUCCUGCCUCAGCCUCCCGAGUAGCUGGGAUUACAGGCGUCCACCACCACACCCGGCUAAUUUUUGUAUUUUUAGUAGAGACGGAGUUUCACCAUGUUGGCCAGGCUGGUCUCGAACUCCUGACCUCAGGUAAUCCACCCACCUCGGCCUCCCAAAGUGCUGGGAUUACAGGCGUGAGCCAACGUGCCCGGCCUUUGUUAUCUUUUUAAAAUUGCGGAAAUAUAGUAACUAACUGUACAGGAAGUAUAAAAAAUGCAAAAAGCAUAAAGAAUUAUUUGUACCUUAUAUGUUGUCAUUUUUCGUGUUAAUUUAAAACUGUAUUAACUUAAAACGUGCUAAUUGUGUUACAAAAGAGUGUUUGGAGAAUGAUCCUAUUAGUAGUUUUCAUUAGCAAGUGCUGACCUGUAUAAUGUUUAUAUUUUGGAUAAUGAUAGUAGACUCUCCUGUGACCUGUAUAUUUUUUAUUAAGUUAUCAAAACAAUUCUCCCUUAGACAGUAUUAAUUUGCAACUCAUAGCUGUGAAAUAACCUCAGAAUAUUUACUGAAAACAGAAUGGAAACUUCAAAUGUUUAUCUGAACAUAUUUAAAUUAUUUCCAUGAAUAAAUUCUUUCCUAUGUUUUAAGUGUUAAUGACAGUCUAGUACUUAUUAGUCAGCUUUUUGUGUAACUUUGUUUAUGGAAACAAGGUCAUUAUAAUAGUUUAAAAAGCUGUUGUGAAGUGACCAAAAAAAAAAAAAUAGCAUGUUAUGUGUCAUAGGGAAAAUUAUUUGAAAUGUCAUGUGUUGAUUAAUGUUUGUAAUUUCAUUUGGAGCAAUGUUAUCAGGUAUAUGUUGCUGUUCUGUAGUAAACAAAGAAAUUGUAUUUUAAACUUAAUGAAAGAACUCUUAUCAUUACAUACCUAACUGUUCUGUGUAUUUUUUUAAAGAAUUAUUCUUGAAAAUUUGUUUUUCAAAACUUUUAGAAAUAUAUGAUGUUACAGAUCAGCCUGUACAAUCAUUCCUUUUCAAAGAUCCUGAUCUCUGAAGAAGCUGGAGUUGAGAUCAUACUGUUAGUAAUAACCGAGUAAGGAAUAGAGUCUGAUGCCUGCACUCCAUUCAGCAUCACUGAAUAAUCAAUUAAUACAUUUAUUUUCAAAAUAUUCACCAAAUGUUUUAGUUUCAAUUAGAGACUAUAAGUAAAAGCUAAAACAUGUUACUGUCUAAUGGGUAACUCAUAUAUAUAAGAGUUACCUGAAAGGCAAAAAUACAAGUGCUAACAUUAUGGAAAGUGGAAUUAGAACUCUGAAAAUUGCUGUAUGAAAAUGUUUGAUUUGAAAAGUUGAUUAAAAAUAUCAAGUCAGUUAAGAUUUCAGGUUCAGUUAGCACCAAGCUUCAGAAGGGCAGGUGAUUCCAGAGCUUAGUUCUAAAAAUAUUCCAGAAGAAUGAAGUUGAAGUUAGGCAUAAAGAUAAUUUAGAAGGGUCUUGGUUAACUUUGACUAUCUGGUGCCUGUAUUAUACUCUACUGAAACUGGUCCCUCUAUUAGAAUUAACAUUUUCUGGGGUAAGACCUAAAGGCUAAGUGAGAUUCCAUCUUCAUCUCCACAGGUUUUGGAGAUAACAUUAACUUAGGUACCUGUUGUUCUGCUGUAGUGAAUUAGGAAAUUGUAUUGAUGUAUGUCAAAACUUAAUGAAAGAAUAACUGGCGCUAUUAUAUACAUAAUAGUAUAUGAUAGUGUGUGUUUUUAAAAUUACUCUCGAAGAUAUAUCCCUUUUAAAAUUUGGAUGUAGUUAUUUAAACAUCAGCUAAUACAGAGAAACAUAAAUUUUAGAAAUAUGAUAAAAUUCUCAGAGAAGGUUUAAACUCUUGUCAGUUAAGUUUGUUUUACUUAUCCAGUCUUUUACCUUUUACACCAGCCCCAGUCACCAACACACCAAAGAAGCACACUACUUCUUUUAACCUGGGAGGGGUUUUUAUUUAUUUCAUUAAAAAAAAAUACUAUACCUCCAGGUUGCCUAUUGGGCUUUGUGUUAUACAUUCAUUGCAAAAAUGUUGAGGCCCAUGAGUGAAAAGUGUUGGUAGAGAUUUGAAUGUAGAUUCUUUCAUGACUGCAAGUCAUUAAGUUACCAUAUGACCUAGUGUUCACAUAUGAUCUUUGAAUGUUUUCCAGAGUAUCUCUCUGUCCUAUGGAUUUGAAAGUCAAUAGGAAUUAAUCAUAGAAAGCCACCAGUAGACUAGGUUCAACAAAAAUUUUUUGAGGACUAAUAUGUGCCGGGUUAUCUAAUGCUUUCCAUGUAUAAACUUUUACUUAAUCUUUUUAACUAUAAAGUACUUGAGUUAUUCCUUCAUUUAUGGAUGAAGAAACAAAGGCUCCGAGAGCCUAAGUGACUUGCUUAAGGUUGCAUAGCUAGUAAGUCAAGAAGCAACAUUUAAAUUGAGGCAACUGUAAGCCCAGAACCUGAAAUUCUAACCACUUUGCUGAACAGCCUCUCUAUCCAGUAGAAUAGCCAAUGCUAAGACACACAGAAUAGCUUAGACAAUUAUAGCAUGUUUCACUUUUCAAACAUGACUUUUAUUUGGUAUAUUAAAAUCUUAAGUGAAAAAGAUUAUUUUUUUCUUGUACCAUUCUCUGGAUUCAGUUUUAUCAUCAUCUUUUCAGAUUCAAUAUAGUAGAAUUUCAAAUUAAACCACAUAAAACUAAUUUUAUUUACUUAAAGGCUUCAUUACCGCAGUACUUAUAUUUAUUUAUUUUCCCAUUUGUAAAUGUAUACUUUUCCCUUCUUGCCGAAUAGUCAAUCAAAAAAUUAUUAUUUGAACUUGUAUUAUCAUUUUAAAAGUAUUGGCAAAUUCUCAUUUCAGAGUAGCACUGUCCAGUCAAACAUUCUGUGAUAAUGGAAGUGAUCUCCACCUAUGCUGUCCACCAUAGUAGCUACUAGCCACAUGUCUAUUGAGCACUGGAAAUGUGAAUAGUACCACUGAGAAACUGAAUCUUUAACUUACAUGUGGCUAAUUAGUGUUUGGUAAAUUGGACAGCACAGGUUUAGAACAUAGCUGUUUUUGCAUUUAAUAAAAAUGCCAACCCAUCUUUCUGUCAUCUUGGUUAUUUGUGGAUCCUUACAAGUGUGUGUAGAUUAAUGGAAUGCUGAAUUUAUUUUUUCUCAUUUAAGAAUUAACUUAUUUCCUCAGCAUUUCCUCAGAAUAAGUAUUUAUAAACUUAGUGAACAAAUUAUUAUAGUUCAAUAAUUUGUGUGUAAUUUAUUAACUACAAAGUUAAAUUCUUUUUGGGGCUGUAUUAGAAUUAAAAUUUUGUGAUUUUUAAUACUCAAUGUCAGUGAAUAUUCUUUUAUUGAAAAAUUUUUGUAGAUUUAAAUGUUGAUGAGCAAUGUAGUGAUUUCUUAUAUCUUACUUAGGUCUUUGCACCUUUCAAUUAUCAAAGGAAAAUCAGUAGCAGAUAUUUGUUCCAAUUCAGUAGAAUGCAGAGGUACCUGGGAAAUCUUUCUUGGGUGUAAGAUGAAAAAAGUCAAAACAAUCAGUUAUGCAGUUUUGAUGAUAAAUACAUAUGAUCUCAUCCAGUUCCAUGAUUUUGUGAAUCUGUUUGUGCGGAUUGUCUACUGUAUCAAAUUAUCUCAUGUUCAGGAACCAUUUUUCCUAUUCUCCUCCUCAGUGUCCUUCACUUAGACUGUAGACAGAUUGUUGCUUUUUCAUUGCCAGCAGUAGGAUAAUUAGAGGCAUGAAAGCCAGCUUAGAAAAGUAAGCCAUGGCUGAGUGACAGAAGCAGCACGUGAGAAGGUGCUAGGUAAGCCAGGAUAGCUAUUAAGAUCCUGUCAGAUAAUUAGUAGUUGACCAUAAUUCAUUUUGACAUUCCAUUAAAUUAAUUUUUAAAAAUUAGUACAACUUAUGAAGUUAUAUAUCUUGGUGAUAAAUGUUUGUAUACAUGGGUGAUCAAAUUUCCUCAGAUUAAUAAAUCCUAAAUUUUUAGUGAAAAACAUUGUGUUAAAUAGAAAAGUGUGAAAUUUAUAAAAGGUAAAUGUACUUAGGUCAGUAUCUCAUUAUUUUGAGUAUUUAAUCUUACUUUUAAAUGUAUUCCUUCAAGAAUGUCCUAUAUAGUUCUUUGUUCAUUGCUUCAUUCAUUCCUUUAUUCAGUACACAUAAUCAAGCUCCUAAAAUGUGACAGACUCUACACAAGACUAUGGGAAUGAAGAUUGAAUAGGCCGCAGUACCUGCUUAGGGUGCCUAUAUUCCAAAGGGGGAAAGAUAGACAUGUCAACAAAUACAUGAAACCUGUCACAAAUCCUUUCAUUAAAGUUCAGCUGGGAACCGAGGGAAAGAAAGGUCAUUUCCACUGGGAUGGGGAGGAAGAGGUUCAAAAAGGACUUCAAAGAGGAGUUGAGCCCUGAGUUGAGCAUUGAAAAUGAUAAAUGUUCAUCACAUGGAUUAUAGGAGGAAGGGUGUUGUGAGUAGACAGAGCAUUGAUAAGUGAAGAUGCAGAGAAGUAAAGCCAUGUAACGUAUUCAGGAGAAGGAAGUAAGUUGCCCAUUAUGAUUAAAUGAUGGAAUGUGGGGUCGGUGACAGGAAAAGGGGACAUUGUAUAAUGAUAGAUGAAACUGAAGAAAUGGACAGAGGACCACAUAAUGGAGAGAGUUUGAAUUUUAUCUUUCAGACAACAGGGAGCCGUUGUGCACUUGGAAAUAAGAGAGAAACAUGAUACAAUUUGGGUUUAAAAGAGGUUACUUUGGUGGUGAUGUGAAGAUAAAUCAUUAUGGAGCAAGUGGAAUAGAGGCAAGAUCAGUUAUAAGACUCCUAUGAUAAUUUGGGUGAGGGCUAUUGAGGGUCUGAACCAAGGUGGUAAAGGUAGGGAUGGAGAAAAGGAUCUGAAAUGGGAGAAAUCUGAAAAAUUGAGCAGAAUGUAUUUUACUGAUUGCAUGUGGGAAAUGAGGAAAAGGAGAAUUGGGGAUGAAACGUUACAUUUUUAGCUUCAGUGUCGUGGUAGAUGUAACGCCGGUAAUAGAGUCAGGAAAUGAAUACAGAGGGCAGGAGUACGUUGGGGGUUGGGGUUGGGACAUACUGAAUUUGGGAUACCCAUGUCAUUUCUGAUAAAUGAUAGCUGAUUGGUUAUUCUAUGUGUGAAUUGUCUUUUAUCUCCCAGCCAUGGGGGAAAAUGACCUUGGAUGGUCAAGGGACCUUUUCCACAUUUUAUCCUCAUUUUACUCUUUUCAAAGACAACUGUUUAGAAACUAUAGAAACUAUAACAUCUGGCAUAACUUACAUAAAUUAAGAAUUUUAUAUACUAAAAGUUUAACCUUUUUGUUUUAAAAAGAGGAAAGCCAAAGUACUGAUGAGAACAGUGUAACUUUUAAAGAAACAAAGUAAUUUAAAAUCAUAAAAUAUUACUUUUAUAAUUUAAGUGUGCGUCCUCUAAGCUAUUCAGUUUUGUAGUUAUACAGGGUAGUGGAAAGAACAUGUAAAAUAUAGCACCAACAUCUAUUAUGUACUAAGUAAAUGUCGGUUUUAUUCCCCUAGAGUCCUUUAACAUAGAUGUUUAAAAGUUCAGAUGUAAUUGAAUAGUAAAAUCAUAAACUUGAGAGUAAGAAAAAUCUAAUUUUUUUUCCUAAUACAUUCUAAUAUCUCACUUUGGACAUAUGUUUUAAUAUCUCCAAGUUAUGGUAUAAAAUUGAGAGGGAUGGCCUAAUGACACUGUGAUCUCUUCUUCCAGCUUUAUAAUCCAAUGCUUCUAUUAUAUUUAUUUAAAGGAAAAAAUAUACACUUAGGAAGCAACAAAAUUAGGCAAUAAAUCAUAAAAAGUGCUCACAAAAUGUGUAGGCAGAGAAGUGGCAAAUGAUCCUCAAUUGAGCAAAUAAAUAUAUGGUAAUGUAUUUGCGAAAACUUUUGAUUUACAUUUAAGGAAUGAUAGUAAUGGACAGGAGUGCCCUUGACAGGCAGGGAGGGCUGGGCUGUGUAUCCCUCUGCUCGCACUGCAGGGAAAUGUCUCAGUGACUUUUCCUGAGGAGGUUCCUGGUCUCAGUCGUCUCCAGGAAGCCCUCUCAGGAUCGGUGGCCACCUCUCACUUAUGGAGUCCUGCAGACCCCACAAUGCAGUCCUGGUGGCCUGGCUGUAACACCCAACUCAGAUCGGAUAAUAUACACCACCAGGAUCUCCUCGAUGACCGUUAAUAUCCAGGAUGGACGUGACUUUCAAGACCAGCUGGUCAACAGUGAGACGCCCAUGGUUGUGGAUUUCCACACACAGUGGUGUGGACACUGCAAGAUACUGGGGCCAAGGUUAGAGAAGAUGGUGGCCAAGCAGCAUAGGAAAGUACUUAUGGCCAAGGUGGAUAUUGAUGACCACACAGACCUCACCACUGAGUAUGAGGUGUUGGCGGUGCCCACUGUGCUGGCCAUGAAGAAUGGGGAUGUGGUGGACAAGUUUGUGGGCAUCAAAGAUGAGGAUCAGCUGGAGGCCUGCCUGAAGAAGCUGAUGGGCUGACAAGCAAGGACGAGUCCUGGUUCCCUUGUCCCGUGUAACACCAAUAGAACUCUUCCUGCCACCUCUCUCCUGUCUGGCCUUGCCACCUCUCUCCUGUCUGGCCUCUGGGGUCCAUGCUUAGAGCCCAGGCUCCAGCAGUGAGUGCUUCCGAGCUGGUGGACUGCCCAAGAUGGUGGCAGACAGCAUCAGAGGAUGGUGCUGCUGCUGAUCCAGGGACUGCCUUCUUCCCUCCCACAUGCCUUUCGUCCUGUCCCACUAGGGCCUAUGGCAGUUCUCUCAGGAUGCAUAGAGAGAGCCCAGGCCAGCCCACAGCACUCCUGUUCAGGCAGCCACACCUUGGUCCUCAUCUCUGGUCCCUUCCGAUCUGAAGCCUCGUGCCUGGCUCAUCUGCCACCUGCAUUUCUCUUUCCUGCUGCUGUUUUGUAAAAAGAAAAAGAAAAAAGAAGCCCAAACUAGUGAGAAUAAUACAUAAUUCUCUCAUUUUUUUGUAGGUCUGUAAUAAAGAACUUAGUCAUCCCUUCCACCUCCUACUGUGAAGAGCAGACCCUGGGUCCCACACUGAAAUCCUGUGUAGUCGCCCAUCCCCAUUCCCCAGGGAACCCCCUCCCAGCUAGCCUCCCAGGCAGGGGGCCAGAAAAUGAGCGAUGGACUGGGGAACCCUGUAGAGCCUUGAUUCUGGAAGGCUCGAGGCACCUCCUUCGCUCCUUAGCUGGCCUGUUGGUCCUCUGAGCAGGGGGCUUAACUGUGAACAAAUCAGACCAAUAAAGCAAGGGUCUGCACC